rnacentral:antisense_RNA from 1 species
CUUGUAGUGGGAAGAAAUCACCUGUAGCCAUUUUACCCAUUGUAGCAGCUGUCAAAACUGUUGUAUCUCCAUAACGUACAACCACAGCUCCAUUUGCUUGUUUUGCAACUUGACCUGUUUCAACAGUUAAAGUUCGUCCUGCAAAUUCGAUUGAAAAUGUUUCUUUUGCCAAUGUUAUUCUCCUUGACUUGAAAUGCUUAGAAUUUUUUCUAACAGUCCAGUCUCCUGCUUUUGCAUUAUUUUUAGUCUACGUGUUUCUAAACAAAAAUCAAAUUGUCAUCACUGAU